CUGUGGGAUCAGUGGCGAACGGGUGAGUAACACGUGAGCAACCUGCCCCUGACUCUGGGAUAAGCGCUGGAAACGGCGUCUAAUACUGGAUAUGUGACGUGACCGCAUGGUCUGCGUUUGGAAAGAUUUUUCGGUUGGGGAUGGGCUCGCGGCCUAUCAGCUUGUUGGUGAGGUAAUGGCUCACCAAGGCGUCGACGGGUAGCCGGCCUGAGAGGGUGACCGGCCACACUGGGACUGAGACACGGCCCAGACUCCUACGGGAGGCAGCAGUGGGGAAUAUUGCACAAUGGGCGCAAGCCUGAUGCAGCAACGCCGCGUGAGGGAUGACGGCCUUCGGGUUGUAAACCUCUUUUAGCAGGGAAGAAGCGAAAGUGACGGUACCUGCAGAAAAAGCGCCGGCUAACUACGUGCCAGCAGCCGCGGUAAUACGUAGGGCGCAAGCGUUAUCCGGAAUUAUUGGGCGUAAAGAGCUCGUAGGCGGUUUGUCGCGUCUGCUGUGAAAUCCCGAGGCUCAACCUCGGGCCUGCAGUGGGUACGGGCAGACUAGAGUGCGGUAGGGGAGAUUGGAAUUCCUGGUGUAGCGGUGGAAUGCGCAGAUAUCAGGAGGAACACCGAUGGCGAAGGCAGAUCUCUGGGCCGUAACUGACGCUGAGGAGCGAAAGGGUGGGGAGCAAACAGGCUUAGAUACCCUGGUAGUCCACCCCGUAAACGUUGGGAACUAGUUGUGGGGUCCAUUCCACGGAUUCCGUGACGCAGCUAACGCAUUAAGUUCCCCGCCUGGGGAGUACGGCCGCAAGGCUAAAACUCAAAGGAAUUGACGGGGACCCGCACAAGCGGCGGAGCAUGCGGAUUAAUUCGAUGCAACGCGAAGAACCUUACCAAGGCUUGACAUAUACGAGAACGGGCCAGAAAUGGUCAACUCUUUGGACACUCGUAAACAGGUGGUGCAUGGUUGUCGUCAGCUCGUGUCGUGAGAUGUUGGGUUAAGUCCCGCAACGAGCGCAACCCUCGUUUUAUGUUGCCAGCACGUAAUGGUGGGAACUCAUGGGAUACUGCCGGGGUCAACUCGGAGGAAGGUGGGGAUGACGUCAAAUCAUCAUGCCCCUUAUGUCUUGGGCUUCACGCAUGCUACAAUGGCCGGUACAAAGGGCUGCAAUACCGCGAGGUGGAGCGAAUCCCAAAAAGCCGGUCCCAGUUCGGAUUGAGGUCUGCAACUCGACCUCAUGAAGUCGGAGUCGCUAGUAAUCGCAGAUCAGCAACGCUGCGGUGAAUACGUUCCCGGGUCUUGUACACACCGCCCGUCAAGUCAUGAAAGUCGGUAACACCUGAAGCCGGUGGCCUAACCCU
rnacentral:rRNA from 1 species